rnacentral:rRNA from 1 species
GAGUUUGAUCUUGGCUCAGAACGAACGCUGGCGGCGGGCCUCAUACAUGCAAGUCGAGCGCGAAAGUCCGCAAGGAUGAGUAAAGCGGCGCACGGGUGAGUAACACGUGGGUAAUCUACCCUUUAGAUUGGAAUAACCUGUCGAAAGACGGGCUAAUGCCAAGUAAGCUCUCGGAGUCGUAAAGUCUCUGCGAGGAAAGAUGGCGCAAGCUAUCGCUGAAGGAUGAGCCUGCGCCCCAUUAGUUAGUUGGUGAGGUAACGGCUUACCAAGACGAUGAUGGGUACCUGGUUUGAGAGAAUGACCAGGCACACUGGAACUGAAACACGGUCCAGACUCCUACGGGAGGCAGCAGUAGGGAAUAUUGCGCAAUGGACGAAAGUCUGACGCAGCCACGCCGCGUGAGUGAAGAAGGCCUCGGUUGU